rnacentral:lncRNA from 1 species
ACUUUCUCAUUCUUCAAAAGUUUCACUGACGUGAACCUCACUUGUGGGUGCCAGGUUAUGACCACAUGCAUAGUUUCAUCUUCAUCUUAUGCAACAUUUGGGGUAAAAGGAAGGUUAUGUGGUAACCAGUUUAUGACUUGAACUAUAGGCAAAGAUUGACCAGGCCAAGCCCUGAGACACAGUGUUGAGAGCCAAGACAUAAAGUCGUGAAGAUUCAGGCCCAGAGCCCAGCAGGGCACAGGCUGGAGGGGUGAUGUGAUGUGAGUGAUCAGUAACACCAUGAAGACUCUGCUUCUGGGUCAGAAAUGCUUUUUUGUCCCUGUUUUGGAUUUUCCACCAUGAGCAGCCAAUGCAGAAAGAAAUCUAAAUGUGAAGGAAAGGCAGCAUUCAGCACUGAGCAAGUCCAUGUUGGAGAAAGAUGUAUUGCUUCCAAUAGGAUAAAUAUUCUCAAAGAUUUAAGCUAUGAAGACCAAAUCUACAGAAGAUAGCAACUCAUUCGCAGGGAAUUGGAAAUCCUUGUCCUCGUGGUUCCUGGCUCAGCAGGACCCCUGUGGGGCCUCUCCCUCUCCUGGGAAAGAGACUGCUCUAGAAGGUUUACUACACCAGUGAGGAGAAGAUGAGCGUAUGGGGGAUUGGCUGGCUGAGGGCGAAAUCAAGGCUGGAGCCAAGUGCGCUGAGCUCUCACGUGAGGUCC